CUCAGGGGAAAGAGGUCCUUCAGCCUGGAUUGCAAGAGGGCACAGGCCAGGCUGAAGGACCCCACUGGUGCAGG
rfam:Myotis davidii contig108227, whole genome shotgun sequence.